rnacentral:lncRNA from 1 species
AGGGAGGAGGAGGGAAAUGUCAGUGGCGGCGCCCGUAAACCGUUUUGGCGCUGAGCCGUGCUCCCUAAGGGCUGCAGAAGAUAGCGUGAACCUUUCAUUUUCUCAUACAUAACCACUUUUCCUUUCUAGAACGUUCUGGAAACGGCGGCAGCACGCUCGCGCACCUUGUUUACGUCGCCGCGUGGGUUAAGAACUUCAUUCCACAUCGCUAUGGGUGACGACGCACCAGGCUCUUGUCGCAGGCGGGGAAGACCGAGAAAGUACGCCACAGCGGAAGAGGCUAGAACAGCUCGAAAUGCCGCUCGUCGUAACCGCCGUCGGGAGGAAGCGGCUAUGGAUGAAGCUGCGGCAGUCGCCCGACGAGAGCAACAUGCGGCACUAAUGCGACGCAGGCGUUCUGGGAAUGCAGAAUUGGUGGAGAGAGAGGCCGCUGCCGCACGUGCAAGACGUGCCGCCUUGAGAGGUGAAGGUACCGACGGGGGCAAACAGGAGCCAAAUGGCGAGCGAGCGGAACGAGCUUCGGAGGGUGCUGUCCAGGUCGCUGGUCAAGUGGACAGAAAGAAGGAACCUGCCUUUUGCUGCACUCACGCGAGGUCAACGAAACCUGUGCAGACUGAGGCCUCAUGGCUGUUCAACAGCAGUGUGGAUGUUGCAGUUGAGACAUCAAGAAGCAUUGCCGUGUGCAAAUCAACCCAGACGCCACUUGUUGCUGUGAAGGUGAACAGGGGGACAGAAACCACAGGUCUAAUCCAAGGACAGUGACACCGUCAUGCAAGAGUUUCCUGGUGACGCUGCCAGCCCCGGGCACAUGCGGGAACAGCCGCCUCAGCCAGGGCCAUCUGGGCUAUGAAGAGGUAGUCCCUUUGUUGCAGCACAUUACAGAGCAUAAAUCCCAUCAAGUCCACCUGGUGCUUCAGUGAGGCCACUUCCCAGUCGACACAGGCAGAGCUCCCUCGCCUGAGGGUUUCCAGGGAGAUGCAGUCAGGGAAUGUGGCAUUCAACUCUACACGGCCACUCAAUUCACUCAACAGCAGCUUUUGCAGCCCAGUUCAGUCAACAGCAAGAACAAGCAGUUCAGUCGGCAUCAGUGGCCAGAAGGAGGGAGGAUUCUAGUACCUGUGAUUUUGACGGGAGCCAACCUUCAAGUGGUGCCAUAGUGUCUUACAGCUGAUGAUUCCUUCUGCCAGAAGCAACUGCCCAGCGCAAGUGGGAACCAGUGCCGUUCUUUGUGGAGAGGCAAGCUCUCUCGUUGCCGCCGUGAAGUCAGCGAGUGUCGCAUACGCCUGCACAUUUUGUUUGCAAGAAUUUCAGGACAUAAGAUCCCUCACCGCCCAUGUAGAGAAGUGCCUGUGGUCGCAGCCGUAUCAGUGUCACUUGUGCUCUAGUCAUUGCUCAGACUGGACGACACAGACCCAUCUCAGGGAAUCGGGAACGAAGUGCCCUUUUUCUGAGUACGCAAUUGGCACAAGGGCAUGGGAGAUGAUGCAACACAUAAAGUGGCACCUGGCUGUCAAGCAGUUCAUGUGCAGCGUCUUCCAAUUAUCCUUCACGAACGGGUACGAUCUUGUUGGGCACGUUCGCCAGCGCCACCUGGUUCAAAACUUAUACAAGUGCGGGUGGUGUCCAAAGUCAUACUUCAGAAGAAAAUUCUACAAAUUCAUGUUCGUUGACUCAUUGGUGAGCAGCUUGGCUAGCUUUGCAUGUGACAUCACGAUUGUUAAACAGCUGUGUACAAGUGUGUUGUGUGCUCACGUGAGUGUGCGAAUUAGUGGAGCCAAUAUAACUGGAUCUUCAUUAACUUCAGAUUCAAGCUUUUCAUUUCACAUGCAUGUAUACAAACUCAGCACUGUCUCGAAAAUCCUUUACUGAGCAGAGGUUCAGCUUGAUCCCUGACCAGCCUCCCUUUGUAAGCAAGCUGCCCAAAUUUAGUUUGUGCUGUCUGGAGUUGACUGUAAAUCGGCAUUUUAGGGUGUUGCUCAGUGAGGUAGCACAUGUGUUUAUCUGGUAUGGGAUAGCAACUGCACGAGAUGUGCAUGCAGUGCAGCGAGAUGUGCAUGCAUGGUAAUUGCAGUAAUUUUGUAACAAACGCUUGUUCCGCGGCACCGAGGACCCAGGCAGCUGGACUAAACCGGCGCCGUACUGUUGUUGCUGUUCUUAUAUGCCAUACAGUGUCACCGGGGCUGUCCGCUCUCGUGCGCUUGACACCAUCUCCCCACACACUGUAGUUUUUAAGACCUGCACUAUCUUCCCAAAUCUCGACACAAUGCAGGUCUCAUAUAAGUGAGGCAUAUGGCUUUCUGCUGACACUGUGCGCUGUGCCAUGACUCCUUGGGUUGUAAAACCGCAGAUGACUUCAUUUGUAAAUAUGUAAUUGAUAUUACGUACCAAUGUUGUUGUUGCCGAGAUUUGUUUCUUUUGAUACAGGCGUUGGUGCAAGUGCCCUUGUGUUAACAUUCUUGCUCUGCCUUGAAUUUUUCUUUUUUUUCUUUUUAAAGGCCAACUACUAUUCUGUUACACAUUCCGCUGCUUCACUUAGGUUCGGUUUGCUUUGUAUCUUAUAAUACGUGUUGUUUUCCUACUGCUACGAAAUCCUUAGUACUGUCCCCCACAGUGCCCUUGUGCCAUUUCUUGUGAUACUAAUUAUCAGACGUGUGCCGCAGAACCAACAUCAUUUAUUGGGAGUGACCUCAUUUACAUAGCACAAACCUGAACCACAGAGUCCUAACAAUCUCUGUAGUACUCUGUUUCAUACUUCGCAGGCCAUUCUUCACGAGCUUAUGAGAGUAGUGCCAUUAUGGAAGUCUCGCUUCAUGUGUUUCACACUGCACUUGUUUAGGAUCUGCGACACUUUCUACGAAGUACUACUUCACAUAUUACAAGUACAGCUUGUAGUCGUGAGGUUACGUCAAGUCACAUACUUGUGUACUUCCAGUAGCCACUGCACUAUGUUUUGGUCGCAAGCACUGGCUGUGCACUAUGGUCGCUGGUCACAGAAAUGUGUCGCUUCACUUGUUUGGUGGCAAAUAGGUUCAACCCUGUGAUGCCUUCCAUCUUAUAAUUAUGUGAUAUUUUGCUAC